GAUGAAGAACGUAGCAAAAUGCGAUAAGUAAUGUGAAUUGCAGAAUUCAGUGAAUCAUCGAAUCUUUGAACGCACAUUGCGCCCGCUGGUAUUCCGGCGGGCAUGCCUGUUCGAGCGUCAUUUCAACCCUCAGGCCCCCGGGUUUGGUGUUGGGGAUCGGCUCUGCCCUUCUGGGCGGUGCCGCCCCCGAAAUACAUUGGCGGUCUCGCUGCAGCCUCCAUUGCGUAGUAGCUAACACCUCGCAACUGGAACGCGGCGCGGCCAUGCCGUAAAACCCCAACUUCUGAAUGUUGACCUCGGAUCAGGUAGGAAUACCCGCUGAACUUAAGCAUAUCAAUAAGCGGAGGA
rnacentral:misc_RNA from 1 species